rnacentral:lncRNA from 1 species
GCAAGCCAAAUCAGAGCAUAACACAACGCACAGGGCAACCUGGUGAGACGGAGGAGGAGGUGGUUCAGGAUACAAACCACAGCGACCACAGCCUCCAUGUGUUGUACAACGAGGAGGACCGCAUGGUUGAGAGGAAUUAACAGGAAAAGGAGGGUUAAGACAACAACAGACAACCACAAGAGCCAAAAAGAACAUCAGACACAAGUGAGAACAUAAGAAGAAAGAGAGUAAAAUGGCCCAACAAUAAAAGUAAAAGUGAAUGGCAAAAGUUUGAUGAGGAUGUGGAUGCAAUUUUGAACACAACAUUGGCAUGUUUAUUUACAACAUAGGUAUAGACAGAUUUGGUGCAGAUGAGAAAGAGGUGGUGAG